AAUAUUCAUUCCCUCUUUGUUCCACAGAGGUUGCAUGCAGCUGCGUCCAGGUUCUCCAGAGCCGCAGCUCUCUCGAACCCGGGGUUCACUCUGGAUAUCUUCACGGAUGUUUCAGCUCCGGCCAUGUUUAGGGGAAGAACUAACAAAGAAGGAAACCGAGGCACCUUAGGAAGAAGCGUGUGCUCCCUGCUCACACAAGCGAUUUGCAAAAUCCGAGCGCACAUCUGGAGAGCUGGGUGAUGCCCAAUUGAUUCAAGUUAAUGUCGUCUCCCGUCUGAUCACAUGUUGGUCCCGAGAACAAUGAAUAGGAGCCCAGCGUACACUGGUGUGACAAGAGGACUCACCGAGGUCAUCCUCCCAGAGUGAGGGACAAAUCAGCGCAGAGGUGCAGCCUGCUUCUCCUUUUAGAGCCAAAUAAAGACAAUUUUGAUACUUUUAGAGCAAUCCUUUGCCUCUGCUUGCAUGGGCCCAGAAGGAUUGAGGCUCAGUUUCAGAGCACCCAGCUACUUGAUAAAAAAAAAAAAUCUGUUAAUGAUCAGGAAAGCUCAUCCUUGAAAUUGUCAUUUGCCAGACAGGAAGCUCCAGUCGCAAACUGUUGUGAAAAAUGGACUUCUGGCGAAUGAAGUCUGGGCAGCCCCGGUUGGCAAGCCUAGAAGUCCUGGUUUCUGAUCUUUUGAGCACCACACAAUCUGGUUUUGGGAGACUACUCCUCAAUGCAGGUAGACCAGUAACUCGUGAAUUGUGGGGUCCCUGAGAGCGGACACUUUCCCCUCUGUACCCUGCACACGGCCUGGCUCUCACUGAGUAUCUGCUGGUUCAGUGUUUGUCACUUGGUACUG